GACAGAGGGGGCAAGCGUUGCUCGGAAUCACUGGGCGUAAAGGGCGUGUAGGCGGUUCGGUAAGUGGGAUGUGAAAUCCCCGGGCUCACCCCGGGACCUGCAUCCCAAACUGCUGAGCUUGAGUACAGGAGAGGGUGGGGGAAUUCCAGGUGUAGCGGUGAAAUGCGUAGAUAUCUGGAGGAACACCGGUGGCGAAGGCGCCCACCUGGCCUGCUACUGACGCUGAUGCGCGAAAGCUAGGGGAGCAAACGGG
rnacentral:rRNA from 1 species